UACGUAGGGUGCGAGCGUUGUCCGGAAUUAUUGGGCGUAAAGAGCUCGUAGGCGGUGUGUCGCGUCGGAUGUGAAAGCCCGGGGCUUAACCCCGGGUCUGCAUUCGAUACGGGCAGACUGGAGUGUGGUAGGGGAGAUCGGAAUUCCUGGUGUAGCGGUGAAAUGCGCAGAUAUCAGGAGGAACACCGGUGGCGAAGGCGGUUCUCUGGGCAUUACCUGACGCUGAGGAGCGAAAGUGUGGGGAGCGAACAGG
rnacentral:rRNA from 1 species